rnacentral:rRNA from 1 species
CGGCUGCUCAGUAACACGUAGUCAACUUACCCUAUGGACGAGGAUAAUCUCGGGAAACUGAGCAUAAUACUCGAUAGAUCAUAAUGCCUGGAAUGGUUUAUGGUUGAAAUGAUUCAUCGCCAUAGGAUGGGACUGCGGCCUAUCAGCUUGUUGGUGAGGUAAUGGCCCACCAAGGCGAUUACAGGUACGGGCUCUGAGAGGAGAAGCCCGGAGAUGGGUACUGAGACAAGGACCCAGGCCCUAUGGGGCGCAGCAGGCGAGAAAACUUUGCAAUGUGCGAAAGCACGACAAGGUUAAUCCGAGUGAUUUCUGCUAAAGAAAUCUUUUGCAAGUCAUAAAACCACUAGUGAAUAAGGGGUGGGCAAGUUCUGGUGUCAGCCGCCGCGGUAAAACCAGCACCUCAAGUGGUCAGGGGGAUUAUUGGGCCUAAAGCAUCCGUAGCCGGCUCUGUAAGUUUUCGGUUAAAUCCAUGUGCUCAACGCAUGGGCUGCCGAAAAUACUGCAUAGCUAGGGAGUGGGAGAGGUAGACGGUACUCGGUAGGAAGGGGUAAAAUCCUUUGAUCUAUCGAUGACCACCUGUGGCGAAGGCGGUCUACCAGAACACGUUCGACGGUGAGGGAUGAAAGCUGGGGGAGCAAACCGGAUUAGAUACCCGGGUAGUCCCAGCUGUAAACGAUGCAGACUCGAUGAUGCAUUGGCAUAUAGCCAGUGCAGUGUCGCAGGGAAGCCGUUAAGUCUGCCGCCUGGGAAGUACGUACGCAAGUAUGAAACUUAAAGGAAUUGGCGGGGGAGCAG